GACGUAGGGCGCGAGCGUUGUCCGGAUUUAUUGGGCGUAAAGAGCUCGUAGGCGGCUUGUCGCGUCGGCUGUGAAAACCCGCGGCUCAACUGUGGGCGGGCAGCUGAUACGGGCAGGCUGGAGUUCGGUAGGGGAGACUGGAAUUCCUGGUGUAGCGGUGAAAUGCGCAGAUAUCAGGAGGAACACCGGUGGCGAAGGCGGGGCUCUGGGCCGAUACUGACGCUGAGGAGCGAAAGCGUGGGGAGCGAUCUGG
rnacentral:rRNA from 1 species